ACACAUGCAAGUCGAACGAGAGAGAAGGAGCUUGCUUCUUCGAUCGAGUGGCGAACGGGUGAGUAACGCGUGAGGAACCUGCCUCAAAGAGGGGGACAACAGUUGGAAACGACUGCUAAUACCGCAUAAGCCCACGGGUCGGCAUCGACCUGAGGGAAAAGGAGUGAUCCGCUUUGAGAUGGCCUCGCGUCCGAUUAGCUAGUUGGUGAGGUAAUGGCCCACCAAGGCGACGAUCGGUAGCCGGACUGAGAGGUUGAACGGCCACAUUGGGACUGAGACACGGCCCAGACUCCUACGGGAGGCAGCAGUGGGGAAUAUUGCACAAUGGGGGAAACCCUGAUGCAGCGACGCCGCGUGGAGGAAGAAGGUCUUCGGAUUGUAAACUCCUGUUGUUGAGGAAGAUAAUGACGGUACUCAACAAGGAAGUGACGGCUAACUACGUGCCAGCAGCCGCGGUAAAACGUAGGUCACAAGCGUUGUCCGGAAUUACUGGGUGUAAAGGGAGCGCAGGCGGGAAGACAAGUUGGAAGUGAAAUCUAUGGGCUCAACCCAUAAACUGCUUUCAAAACUGUUUUUCUUGAGUAGUGCAGAGGUAGGCGGAAUUCCCGGUGUAGCGGUGGAAUGCGUAGAUAUCGGGAGGAACACCAGUGGCGAAGGCGGCCUACUGGGCACCAACUGACGCUGAGGCUCGAAAGUGUGGGUAGCAAACAGGAUUAGAUACCCUGGUAGUCCACACCGUAAACGAUGAUUACUAGGUGUUGGAGGAUUGACCCCUUCAGUGCCGCAGUUAACACAAUAAGUAAUCCACCUGGGGAGUACGACCGCAAGGUUGAAACUCAAAGGAAUUGACGGGGGCCCGCACAAGCAGUGGAGUAUGUGGUUUAAUUCGACGCAACGCGAA
rnacentral:rRNA from 1 species